rnacentral:lncRNA from 1 species
AAGAUUUGAGGAUGAAGAAAAUAAUAUCAAGGGAUGAAGGUUUAAUGUAGAUGAAAGUAAAAAUGGAUAAAAAAAGACACCAAAGAAAGAACAAAACGUUUUCAGGAAUUUGCGAUGGGGUAUCCCACGCAUUUUAAAUGGUCAUAUGCAUGUUGUUAAAUAAUUCAAAUUGUGCGGCAUAAGUAUGAUUUAGAGUUUCUUAUUCAGUAUACGAAUUAAUUGUAUAUAAAUAUAACUAUUUUGUAAUUCAAUUUGUAAAGUCAUAAUUAA